UUCAGUGAUGAAAACUGCUGCAUAGGAAGUGCCGUCUGAUGCGAUAACUGACGAUGGUUUAAAGCUUUUCUGAGA